CAAGCAGUCUGGAGUGGAAGCAGAAGACUUCCUAAAAAAUAAGCAGGGAAAUCAGCGGCAACACCUGAACAAAAGAGAUUCAGUGCUGUUGUAAGAUCAUCCCUGGGUGCAUCAAAAAUGUGGACCACUGCCUGCAAGGGAGCGGAAAUUGACUGGAACCCUGUCAUAAGCAAAGUCACAGCAGAGUUGCCCUGCAGCCUCGUCGGCAAAGAGCAGGAAAUUCUGAAAAAAGCCUUAAAAAUGCUCCGAAACAGGAGGGAGGACCUCCGAAGGUCAGG